CGGCGGACGGGUGAGUAACGCGUGGGUAACCUGCCUCGUACAGGGGGAUAACAGUUGGAAACGGCUGCUAAUACCGCAUAAGCGCACAGUACCGCAUGGUACCGUGUGAAAAACUCCGGUGGUAUGAGAUGGACCCGCGUCUGAUUAGGUAGUUGGUGGGGUAACGGCCUACCAAGCCGACGAUCAGUAGCCGACCUGAGAGGGUGACCGGCCACAUUGGGACUGAGACACGGCCCAG
rnacentral:rRNA from 1 species